CGUACACUCCUGCGGGAGGCAGCAGUGGGGAAUAUUGGACAAUGGGCGCAAGCCUGAUCCAGCCAUGCCGCGUGAGUGAUGAAGGCCCUAGGGUUGUAAAGCUCUUUCACCGGAGAAGAUAAUGACGGUAUCCGGAGAAGAAGCCCCGGCUAACUUCGUGCCAGCAGCCGCGGUAAUACGAAGGGGGCUAGCGUUGUUCGGAAUUACUGGGCGUAAAGCGCACGUAGGCGGAUCGAUCAGUCAGGGGUGAAAUCCCAGGGCUCAACCCUGGAACUGCCUUUGAUACUGUCGAUCUGGAGUAUGGAAGAGGUGAGUGGAAUUCCGAGUGUAGAGGUGAAAUUCGUAGAUAUUCGGAGGAACACCAGUGGCGAAGGCGGCUCACUGGUCCAUUACUGACGCUGAGGUGCGAAAGCGUGGGGAGCAAACAGGAUUAGAAACCCCUGUAGUCCCAUGA
rnacentral:rRNA from 1 species